GAAGUGACUCUCCAGGGGAGCUAAAAUCCAUGUAUUUGGGCACACACUUGAACAAUAUUGCUAGAGAAAUUUAAGCAAGAACACAAAGGUUAAUGACAUCUCUUAUGGGGAUCACUGUGAGGAUAAAACGAGACACUACGUUGUCUGGGAUGAUGGAAGGAGCUAAAGUCUUCAGUGAAUGAAGGAGCAGGGCCAGGAGCUCAAAAAACUUCUUUGAAGACAAAGAAGAAAUGAUAUUACCAAAUGGUUGGCUCAAAGGAACAGGGAUUUUGCAACAGAGAGGGUAUGUCAUGGUCUUGAACAAGCAAUGUUUUGCCAGGACGAUUAAAUAUCAUUGAUGCUUCUGGUCUACAAUUAGUCCCAGAGGAGAUCAAAAAAUGAUGAGUAUUCAAGAAGGAAAGUGUUUGCUUUAACAUAUGAAGAAAAGGACCUUCAGAGUGGUGAUUAACCCCAGAAUUGUGUGGAACGGAUAUGGAAACAAGACCACAGGAGCAUCGAGAACUGAGCAGAACUGAAAGUGACAUGAAAAUCAGCUGCAAGAUUCACCUCAGGGUGAGAAUGGGCUGCAGGUGGCUGCAGGAAUCCCGGGACAUUCUAGGCACUGUCACAUUUUCUUAGGGGCCAGUAAGGCUGGCUAUCAUCAGAUGUACCUGAUGAUACAAACAUGGGCUGUCUUGCCUUCUAGUAUUCAUUCUUGGUGAUUGCAUACAGAGCUUACUCUGGAGGUGCAGAUCAACUCUUCUUCGGGCUCAUCCAUGCCACUUGAGCGGGCUCUCAU
rnacentral:lncRNA from 1 species